ACCAAGGCGACGAUCGGUAGCCGGACUGAGAGGUUGAACGGCCACAUUGGGACUGAGACACGGCCCAGACUCCUACGGGAGGCAGCAGUGGGGAAUAUUGCACAAUGGGGGAAACCCUGAUGCAGCGACGCCGCGUGGAGGAAGAAGGUCUUCGGAUUGUAAACUCCUGUUGUUGGGGAAGAUAAUGACGGUACCCAACAAGGAAGUGACGGCUAACUACGUGCCAGCAGCCGCGGUAAAACGUAGGUCACAAGCGUUGUCCGGAAUUACUGGGUGUAAAGGGAGCGCAGGCGGGAAGACAAGUUGGAAGUGAAAUCUAUGGGCUCAACCCAUAAACUGCUUUCAAAACUGUUUUUCUUGAGUAGUGCAGAGGUAGGCGGAAUUCCCGGUGUAGCGGUGGAAUGCGUAGAUAUCGGGAGGAACACCAGUGGCGAAGGCGGCCUACUGGGCACCAACUGACGCUGAGGCUCGAAAGUGUGGGUAGCAAACAGGAUUAGAUACCCUGGUAGUCCACACCGUAAACGAUGAUUACUAGGUGUUGGAGGAUUGACCCCUUCAGUGCCGCAGUUAACACAAUAAGUAAUCCACCUGGGGGGUACGACCGCAAGGUUGAAACUCAAAGGAAUUGACGGGGGCCCGCACAAGCAGUGGAGUAUGUGGUUUAAUUCGACGCAACGCGAAGAACCUUACCAAGUCUUGACAUCCCUUGACAGACAUAGAAAUAUGUAUUCUCUUCGGAGCAAGGAGACAGGUGGUGCAUGGUUGUCGUCAGCUCGUGUCGUGAGAUGUUGGGUUAAGUCCCGCAACGAGCGCAACCCUUAUGGUCAGUUACUACGCAAGAGGACUCUGGCCAGACUGCCGUUGACAAAACGGAGGAAGGUGGGGAUGACGUCAAAUCAUCAUGCCCUUUAUGACUUGGGCUACACACGUACUACAAUGGCGUUAAACAAAGAGAAGCAAGACCGCGAGGUGGAGCAAAACUCAGAAACAACGUCCCAGUUCGGACUGCAGGCUGCAACUCGCCUGCACGAAGUCGGAAUUGCUAGUAAUCGUGGAUCAGCAUGCCACGGUGAAUACGUUCCCGGGCCUUGUACACACCGCCCGUCACACCAUGAGAGCCGGGGGGACCCGAAGUCGGUAGUCUAACCGCAAGGAGGACGCCGCCGAAGGUAAAACUGGUGAUUGGGGUGAAGUCGUAACAAGGUAGCCGUAGGAGAACCUGCGGCUG
rnacentral:rRNA from 1 species